CCAGUUUAAGUUUCAUGAUGUUUUUUCACCCGUUUCAGAGUUUAUAACGGGUGUCUAUGGGACGGAAUGUUGGGGCUAGAGUGAGGCAGCUCAACUGCUAGAGUGAGAGGAGCAAAAAAAUUAAUCUUAAAAUCUUUUUUAAAACUGCUGCUGUGUCCACAGCGUUUGCUCUACAGGUAUGAUUUUACCCUCAAAACGUAGCCAUGGCUGUCCUCUUUCAUCCAAUGUGUUUACUAUUGUCCUAGGUGUUAUGGUUCUUUCAUAAAUGUCACCAAUGCACAGCCUCCUCCCUCCAACUCUUCCAUAGACUCUAAUGUUAAAAUGGCUCAGAAGGUUCGUUUGAAAAUCAGAAGAGCAUGGUGUCUUUACACUGUCACCACGUCCAUAUAAUAAGCUCCACAGGCAUGAAAACUGAGAAUUAGGUAGACUAGACAUGGCUGUCGCUCACGGUGAAAGAAUUUUGUCAAUACGACAUGUACUUUUCAUUUGGGAAGAAUUUGUUUGGGCCUGACUUUUCUGUUCAUUUUAAGCAGCAAAAGUGAGGCGCAUGUCUGUGUACGUGUGUAUGGAGCCAUUGGGUGCGGUCACUAUAGCAACCAGGCUCACACCUGCCUGCUUAACGAGCUCUGCCUGCCACUGUACCAAGAUUCAUCUUAAGCACUUCUCUUUCAACUGCUGCUGUGUCCACAGUGUUACAGCCAUCAUUUUACCCUCAAAUUGUCGCCAUUAUUGUUCUCUUUCCAACACCGUAUCUUUCAAAGCUCAGGCAUUUAAACUUUUUAAACUGUGUGGAUCAAAGUGGAGGGAUCACAUUUGAGUCAUUCAGUGAUUCAAAGAAUAUGACCUUUUAAUAUUCAUUCAGAUGUUUUCUGACUCUAAAUGUUCUUUUCUCAUUUCUUAGGGUUUUCUAAUUUACAUUUAAAACAUUUUCAGUUUUUUUCCAACUCCUUCUUCUGUGUAACCUUCAGCUUUUAGCAGUUCAGCACCUUUGUUUUCAGGUUAAAUUCGUUUUUUUUUUUUGUUUUUUUUUAAUCUCAUUCAAUAUUUUUAACUCAAAAUUCAGCAAUUAAUUCAUUUCAGUGCAUACAUUCAGAUUCAAGCAUUCACACUGCAGUUUCUUCAGAAAAUGCACUUUCUAGUUAUUAUAUUUUAUCUAUUCCGUACGUUUUUUGAAAGCCUACUCCUUCAAAACCGUUCAACUUAGAAAAACCAUUCAAACACCAUUAGAUUCCUAUUCUUUUGGACACUGUUGCUUGUAUUUUUCUCAUUUUUAACAUUUAUAUUUUUAAUUUUAUUCAACUUUAUUCAACAAAAAUUUCCCAUGUAUUUCAAUGGGGAGACCCUUCAAAUUCUCAUUCAACUUACUCAUUUUUAAACUCUUACUACUUCAACAUACGUUCACAUAGAGCCACCAUUCAAACUUUAAAACGAAGACAAGACAUUCAACUAUUCAACUUGUAUUUAUCUUUUCAAUAUCUAUUAUACUUUUUCUUCAGUUCCAGUUUAAGUUUCAUGAUGUUUUUUCACCCGUUUCAGAGUUUAUAAUGGGUGUGUAUGGGACGGAAUGUUGGGGCUAGAGUGAGACAGCUCAACUGCUAGAGUGAGAGGAGCAAAAAAAA
ensembl:lncRNA